rnacentral:rRNA from 1 species
UACGUAGGGUGCAAGCGUUGUCCGGAAUUUAUUGGGCGUAAAGAGCUCGUAGGCGGUCUGUCGCGUCGGCUGUGAAACUCGGGGCUCACCCCGAGCCUGCAGUCGAUACGGGCAGACUAGAGUGCUGUAGGGGAGACUGGAAUUCCUGGUGUAGCGGUGAAAUGCGCAGAUAUCAGGAGGACACCGGUGGCGAAGGCGGG